AACGUAGGUGGCAAGCGUUAUCCGGAAUUACUGGGCGUAAAGGGUGUGCAGGCGGGGUGGCAAGUGGUGUAUGAAAUAUCCCAGCUUAACUGGGAGGGGUUAUGCCAGACUGCUACUCUAGAGGACGAGAGAGGGGCGUGGAAUCCGGGUGUAGUGGUGAAAUGCGUAGAGAUCCGGAGGAACCCCAGAGGCGAAGGCGACGCCCUGGCUCGUACCGUGACGCUCAGCCACGAA
rnacentral:rRNA from 1 species